AGAGUUUGAUCAUGGCUCAGGAUGAACGCUAGCUACAGGCUUAACACAUGCAAGUCGAGGGGAAACGAUAUUGGAAGCUUGCUUCCGAUAGGCGUCGACCGGCGCACGGGUGAGUAACGCGUAUCCAACCUGCCCACCACUUGGGGAUAACCUUGCGAAAGUAAGACUAAUACCCAAUGAUAUCUCUAGAAGACAUCUGAAAGAGAUUAAAGAUUUAUCGGUGAUGGAUGGGGAUGCGUCUGAUUAGCUUGUUGGCGGGGUAACGCCCACCAAGGCGACGAUCGAGUAGGGGUUCUGAGACGGAAGGUCCCCCANAUUGGAACUGAGACACGGUCCAAACUCCUACGGGAGCA
rnacentral:rRNA from 1 species